rnacentral:rRNA from 1 species
AAUGGGCGCAAGCCUGAUCCAGCAAUGCCGCGUGGGUGAAGACGGCCUGCGGGUUGUAAAGCCCUUUAGGUGGGGAAGAACGGUGGUGUGCGAACAGUGCGCCGCCUUGACGUUACCCACGGAAUAAGCACCGGCUAACUCCGUGCCAGCAGCCGCGGUAAUACGGGGGGUGCGAGCGUUAAUCGGAAUUACUGGGCGUAAAGCGUGCGUAGGCGGUUCGGUCAGUCAGCCGUGAAAGCCCUGGGCUUAACCUGGGAACGGCGGUUGAGACGGCCAAACUCGAGUGGGCUAGAGGAUCGUGGAAUUCCGGGUGUAGCGGUGAAAUGCGUAGAGAUCCGGAGGAACACCGAUGGCGAAAGCAGCGGUCUGGGGCCACACUGACGCUGAGGCACGAAAGCGUGGGGAGCAAA